UACGAAGGGGGCUAGCGUUGUUCGGAAUUACUGGGCGUAAAGCGCACGUAGGCGGAUUGUUAAGUGAGGGGUGAAAUCCCAGGGCUCAACCCUGGAACUGCCUUUCAUACUGGCAAUCUAGAGUCCGGAAGAGGUGAGUGGAAUUCCGAGUGUAGAGGUGAAAUUCGUAGAUAUUCGGAGGAACACCAGUGGCGAAGGCGGCUCACUGGGCCGGUACUGACGCUGAGGUGCGAAAGCGUGGGGAGCAAACAGG
rnacentral:rRNA from 1 species